rnacentral:rRNA from 1 species
CUCCGACUUCAUGGGGUCGAGUUGCAGACCCCAAUCCGAACUGAGACCGGCUUUUUGGGAUUCGCUCCACCUUACGGUAUCGCAGCCCUCUGUACCGGCCAUUGUAGCAUGCGUGAAGCCCAAGACAUAAGGGGCAUGAUGAUUUGACGUCAUCCCCACCUUCCUCCGAGUUGACCCCGGCAGUCUCCCAUGAGUCCCCGGCAUAACCCGCUGGCAACAUAGGACGAGGGUUGCGCUCGUUGCGGGACUUAACCCAACAUCUCACGACACGAGCUGACGACAACCAUGCACCACCUGUGUACGAGUGUCCAAAGAGAACCCCGUCUCGGGGGCUUUCUCGUACAUGUCAAGCCUUGGUAAGGUUCUUCGCGUUGCAUCGAAUUAAUCCGCAUGCUCCGCCGCUUGUGCGGGCCCCCGUCAAUUCCUUUGAGUUUUAGCCUUGCGGCCGUACUCCCCAGGCGGGGCACUUAAUGCGUUAGCUGCGGCACGGAACUCGUGGAAUGAGCCCCACACCUAGUGCCCAACGUUUACGGCAUGGACUACCAGGGUAUCUAAUCCUGUUCGCUCCCCAUGCUUUCGCUCCUCAGCGUCAGUUGCGGCCCAGAGACCUGCCUUCGCCAUCGGUGUUCCUCCUGAUAUCUGCGCAUUCCACCGCUACACCAGGAAUUCCAGUCUCCCCUACCGCACUCUAGUCUGCCCGUACCCGAUGCAAGCCCGAGGUUGAGCCUCGGGAUUUCACACCAGACGCGACAGACCGCCUACGAGCUCUUUACGCCCAAUAAUUCCGGACAACGCUUGCGCCCUACGUAUUACCGCGGCUGCUGGCACGUAGUUAGCCGGCGCUUCUUCUGCAGGUACCGUCACUUGCGCUUCUUCCCUGCUGAAAGAGGUUUACAACCCGAAGGCCGUCAUCCCUCACGCGGCGUCGCUGCAUCAGGCUUGCGCCCAUUGUGCAUAUUCCCCACUGCUGCCUCCCGUAGGAGUCUGGGCCGUGUCUCAGUCCCAGUGUGGCCGGUCGCCCUCUCAGGCCGGCUACCCGUCGACGCCUUGGUAGGCCAUCACCCCACCAACAAGCUGAUAGGCCGCGAGCCCAUCCCCCACCGAAAAACUUUCCAACCCACACCAUGCGAUGCGAGCUCAUAUCCGGUAUUAGACCCCGUUUCCAAGGCUUAUCCCGAAGUGGAGGGCAGGUUGCUCACGUGUUACUCACCCGUUCGCCACUGAUCCACCCAGCAAGCUGGGCUUCACCGUCGA